rnacentral:tRNA from 1 species
GGGGAUAUAGCUCAGUGGUAGAGCAUUCGACUGUAGAUCGAGAGGUGCCCCCGGUUCGAACCCGGGUGUCCCCU